rnacentral:lncRNA from 1 species
UUGGUUUUAUCCUGAGCUUUAGUAUCAAUUUUGACUCUUGAAUGGAAGAUUAGUGAGUUCUCGGGUUACAGAGCUUCAGUUGUAAGGUUUACCACCUGGAAAUGAUGCAUUUAGACUUUUCUUUGUUUAUUGGUUUGUAAAUUUGUUGUCCUUUUGUCCUAGCGUUCAGCCAAUUUUAUCUACUUUUGGGAGACCAAUGACUAUGAC